AAGUAUUAUAGGUUCUUGAAAUAAGAUUAAUAGGGAAAGAGGUUUAAUGCCUCUGCAGCCCCCGCUACUGUAAAGCUGACGAACUUUCAACUUAACCACUAUGACUUAGUCAUGGGAAGGUAAAAUAGUAGGAUGAAGCUAAGCCAGGAGACCUGCCUAAUAAUAUU
rnacentral:ncRNA from 1 species